GUGCUUCGGCAGUACCUACACUAAAAUUGAAACAAUACACAGAAGGCUGGCUUGGCUGCCAUGCAAGGAUGACACACAAAGGUGGGCAGUGUCCUGUAUUUUU
ensembl:snRNA U6 U6 spliceosomal RNA